rnacentral:lncRNA from 1 species
AUGUUAUUCAGUUGUAAAUCCAACUGGAACUUGGUUUAGGGAUGCAAAUAAGAAAAAAAAGAAUUGUAUAUAUAAAGAUCUCCUGCGAGUCACCUGAGUUUGGCACCACUACACUCAAUACAUUGCUGAAAGUGGUUUGUUACAAGUAACUAAUGAAGAACUGACCAUUCUAUUAGCUCAUGACCUUGACUAUAGAAUCUGCUAUAUGUAGUGAAACGAAAGGAUGACGAAUAUGUAAGAACCAUUGUUCUUCCUUCUUUCCUUUUUUUUUUCUUUUAUCACUUGAAACUAUGAAAAGCAGUUUCGUUACUUGUCAUGUCAAAGCCAUUCUAUAAUAUAAUCAUGUAUGAUCGAAGUAAUUAAUAGAAUAACAGACAGCAACCAAAGAGCACCUUACACACAUCAAAGAUUCAUAACAAUAUAUUUCUUAUUACCUGAUCACAAUUAUCGAAGCUCUAGUACCACUUCAAUGUCAAAAUACUUUUACGUAGAAUCCUAGGAUUGGAUGAGACCGAGUUAACAAUCACCCUCGAUCCAAGUACAACUCCAACUCGGGUUCAUCGGCACCCUCCUCAUCAUCAUUAUAAUCAUCUUCGUCAUCGUCUGCCUUCGGAGGAUCAUAUAUAUAAUCAUC